rnacentral:rRNA from 1 species
AGCGAACGCUGGCGGCAGGCCUAACACAUGCAAGUCGAACGAAGCCUUCGGGCUUAGUGGCGGACGGGUGAGUAACACGUGGGAACGUACCUUUUGGUUCGGAAUAACGCAGAGAAAUUUGCGCUAAUACCGAAUGAGCCCUUAGGGGGAAAGAUUUAUCGCCGAAAGAUCGGCCCGCGUUGGAUUAGGUAGUUGGUGUGGUAAAGGCGCACCAAGCCUACGAUCCAUAGCUGGUCUGAGAGGAUGAUCAGCCACACUGGGACUGAGACACGGCCCAGACUCCUACGGGAGGUAGCAGUGGGGAAUCUUGCGCAAUGGGCGAAAGCCUGACGCAGCCAUGCCGCGUGAAUGAUGAAGGUCUUAGGAUUGUAAAAUUCUUUUACCAGGGACGAUAAUGACGGUACCUGGAGAAAAAGCCCCGGCUAACUUCGUGCCAGCCGCCGCAGUAAGAC